AAUCAACGCUGGCGGCGUGCCUCAGACAUGCAAGUCGAACGAUUAAAGCUCUCUUCGGAGAGUGCAUAAAGUGGCGCACGGGUGAGUAACACGUAAGUAAUCUACCUUCGAGUGGGGAAUAACGUCCGGAACGGACGCUAAUACCGCAUAAUGCAGCGGCAUCGCAAGAUGACAGUUGUUAAAGGAGCAAUUCGCUUGAAGAGGAGCUUGCGGCAGAUUUAGCUAGUUGGUAAGGUAACGGCUUACCAAGGCUACGAUCUGUAACCGGUCUAAGAGGACGGUCGGUCACACUGACACUGAAUAACGGGUCAGACUCCUACGGGAGGCAGCAGUCGGGAAUUUUGGG
rnacentral:rRNA from 1 species